GCUGAGCAGAAGCGGCUGGAUCCCCAUGAGAGGCAGUCACUUGUCAUGGCCAGAGGCCACAGUGGCUCCACUUUCAUCCAUUGUUCCUGAGACUUCCCCACCCCUGUUCUCCUACUGAGACUGAGUGACAGGAAUGACUUGGCCGAAGGAGCAGCUGGACCACCAGCUUAUUGCGCAAAGAACAUCACCUUCCUGGACAGAACAGAAGCCAGCUCUCCAAGAGCAGGCAGCCGGGAGGGUGGGGCCUCUGAUCCCCACUUCCCCCUGUCUCUCCCACUAAUGGCUGCGGACUCUGCGUGGCCCCAGAUUUCCCCCCGCUGCAGUGGCCCCUGGACACCUGCACCUGCCCGGCCCACAGGAACCUCAGCGCCAGCACGUUACAUGAACCCCAAAGCUGCCCAUUCUGCAGGCUCCCCCUUCCACGAACAGUGCAACUCCAUCUACCCGGCGAGGACUCCCUGCUGCCUCCCAGUCCCCCCGGGUCUGGGGCAGUGCCCGGGAGCAGUUCUCUCCGGAGUCGCCCGGUCCAGCCUAGGUCUCUGUUUACUCGGCUCCCUUUCAGACGAGCCUGCAGCGUGGAGCGUGGGUGAAAGUGAAGGAUACACUUUCAGCAAGAUGCCAGAGGGUGCCCGCUGGAGACAGGGGCUCCUCCACAGCCCCCGCUUGGCUCUUGGGGGACAUGCUCCAGCUGGUACAGUUCUCACCUGUCAGUUCUCCGGGACACCGACGUAAUUGCUCACUUGAUUUAUUCCACCGUCCAGCGCAGCUGGCCCCAAAUAGCAAAGCCAACAGCUCCGCCACCAGCAUGACAGCUAAAAACUACUUAGAUGUUUUCAGUUCUUCUAUCUUUAGAGCAUGUUCUACUAGGAGUAUAGCCAGAUUUCUGUGUUUUCGAGACAUCUUUGUGGAUGUGCUAUUUAAACUAGAGCCAAUGGUUCCUUUGUUUUAUUCCACUUUUGAUUUUUAGGACUUUUUAAAUAUUUCAUUUUUAAAUCAUGUUUCAAUGAAUUUUUAUCUUUAAAGAGGUAAUAUAUGUACUUGGUCAGAACCUGAAAUAACAUUUAAGAUACUCAAUGAAAAAUUUUCCUGCCCUGGCUGGUGUAGCUCAGUGGAUUGAGCGCAGACCUGUGAGCCAGAGGAUCGUGGUUCGAUUCCCAGUCAGGGCACAUGCCUGGGUUGCAGGCCAGUUCCCAGCAGGGGACACAUGAGAGGCAACCACACACUGAUGUUUCUCUCCCACUCUUUCUCCUUCCCUUCCCCUCUCUAAAAAUAAAUAAAUAAAAUAUUUUAAAAAAGAAAAGUCUUCCUACCUGUGCUCUAGUUUCUCCAUUUUCCUCUUUCCAGCUACUUUCAUUAUAUCUUAGGUUUCCUUCCAGGGUUUUGUAAAUGCAGGCAAAUAUAAGCACACUAUGUCCGCUAUUACGCGUGCGUCCUGUAGUCUGCGCUGUGUUCUCCUCACAGCAUCGUCUGGUUAAAGCACCGAGCAGCCAGUCCCGCUCUUCACUGCACAGAACUCAUUUUAUGAAUGGAGUGAAAAUUAGGUAGCCAACCUGCUACUGAUUCGUAUUUUGGCUGUUUCAUAUAUUUUCC